UACGGAGGGUGCAAGCAUUGAUCGGAAUUACUGGGCGUAAAGGGCGCGUAGGCGGCCAUGAAAGUCAGAUGUGAAAUUCCGGGGCUCAACCCCGGAGCUGCAUUUGAAACUCCAUGGCUAGAGUACAGUUAGGGUAAACGGAAUUCCACGUGUAGCGGUGAAAUGCGUAGAUAUGUGGAAGAACACCGGUGGUGAAGACGGUUUACUGGGCUGAAACUGACGCUGAGGCGCGAAAGCAUGGGGAGCAAACAGG
rnacentral:rRNA from 1 species